CGGUCAGUACCCGUUCCAAGGUUGAGGUUUGCAGUGUGGGACCACCAUCCGAACUCAUCUACUCUUACGAUCCAGUUCAGGGUAGAAGUUUUAUGUAUUACUUCAGUUUCAGUUUUUAUUUACUUUUGACGUUGAACUCUCAGGUUUAUAUUUAGGGAUCCUUGACAUAGGAUUUCCAAGUUGUAAUGGAGUACUGUAUUAAAUAAAGGAUGGAUGGAUGUUGUAUUGUUUAGUGUU